GGUCUGGUGGUCUAGUCGUAUGAUUCGCCCUUUGGGAUUAACUUCACAUCUGGGCGAGGUCCCGGGUUCAAUCCCCGGCCAGACCC